UGUUCAUCUGCUAAGUCUCCAACCUUGUGUCUGUUCUGCGGUGCUGAGUAAGUAGUGUACAAUUUGGGUGGGGGCUUGACUCUCUAUGAGUUCAUUACAACAGGAAACCCUUUACACAUUACGCAUAGUCAUUCGAUUCAUUGUAAGUACAGGAGAUUGAGUAGCUACUUCUUGUUGCCCCAUGUAAAGAUACAGUAUGCGGCUUUAACUUUUUUUUCUGUCUUGCUUGGCUGACAUUGGAAUGCCUUGCUGAAGGACACUGCAACAGACACUGCUGAAAGAGGAGAUAGUGUUUCCUGAUGACUGUCCACACCCAGCCUCCCAGCCAGUCUGCAGGAUGACGACUAAACUAAUUCAUAUGCACGGUUGGCAAAACUGAUGCUCUCCAUCAUCUGACCUGACACAGCCAGCAAAUCCAAGACCUACUAAUCAACUGCCAGAGCAGAAGGAACACAGCAGGAUCACGUUACGUAAUCAGCACCUACACAGGGAAAGAGCCGCCCAGUACAUGUGGCUUCUGCUGGUCAGCACUGAGUGGAUGAAGGUUUUUUUUUUUCAGCUUGUCAAGAUUUUGCACCAACAAAAGCACUCCAAAAAAAAAUAAAGGCACAUAUUACUUUGAUCUGAGCAGUUGGUUGAAUGUUAAAAACAAUGAGCUGUAGAGGAUUCCACAUUUGGAUCAAUAUCCAACAACCUCCAACAACAACAAUGCAACAGAGAAUCCAUUCUUCCAUGACACAAUAGAGUAAAAAAAAAAAUCCACACAAUUGUACAUAUAUAAAAACCUACAGGCAUAUCAGUUAUUGAGUGACACUAAAACACCCCAAAAAUAAAUGUAACAAUGGGCUAAAUUGGAUAUCACUCCAUUUUACAGAUGCAGCUAAUUCAACA